GUUUUCAUUUGCAAAAGUAUGGAGGAAAAGCAGUGACAGAUGAAAGGCAAGUGUCUGUGUUGGACUGUGUUUUACCCAGUCAUAGACCUUAUAAGGAAGUACAACGCAGUUGCUUUGACAGGGACCCAACCUCAG
rnacentral:lncRNA from 14 species